GUGCAGCUAAUUAAGCCGAUCAAGUCCCUUUCCCCAUGGGGACUUUGGUGUGCAAUGGUUGCAAACAGCAGCCUCCUUGGUAGCGUAUGUAGCCUAUUGUCUAUAUGGGUUACCUCAAGGGACCUUGGAAACAGUU
ensembl:snoRNA LOC120102003 small nucleolar RNA SNORA70